UGGCCUCUCCGGUGGCGCAGGGAACGCAGCUUCUGGGCGCGGGGACGGUGGUCUGUGUGUCUGAGACCCCGCCCGACUCUGGGGAUCCCUCAUCUUCCGAGUCUGAGAAAGGUCACCUCCGGACACACAAGAGGACUUAGCGGGCAGUUUGGGGAACGGACGGGCUCUCCAAAAUAUGGAUGGAGGUCAUCCUCAUGAGUUCGAGGGGGUUGUGGCUGGAUCAUCCAAGUGACCUGGCCCUGAGGUUCCUGAUAUCCAGGCCUGCAAGUCACCAUGGAGGGACCCAAGUGGACAUGGGGGCGGAGUUCAGGGUCCCCUCUCACCCCAGCACAGCAGAGCUCCUUCCUGCCUUUGCCCUAGUUCUUCCCUCUGCCUGGACGGAAACACUCCCCAGGUGAUUAAAGGGCUCAGUCCCUCACCUCCUGAAGCUUCUCAAGUCUUCUGUAUCUUGUUCAAGGUAAACGUCUCUCUACUUGACCUUCUUUACUCUUUUUUCUCCUCAGUGUCUCUACCUAUGCUUUUAUACAGUUGAUCUGUUCGCUAUCUGUCCCUCCAACCCUGUAAUGGAAGAUUCCCCAGAGUGAGGACCAUCUCCAGCACUUUGAACUGUACAUUGUAGGUACUCAUUAUCUGUCACAUGAAUAAACACCAGUGCUUAUUUAACCCUUCCAAUUCACUGAACCCACUUUUGCCUCCCCAAACUUUUGCAGCAAGUUCUAUCACCCCCAUUUACAAAAUGAGGAAAUUGAGG
rnacentral:lncRNA from 1 species